AUUGAACGCUGGCGGCAGGCCUAACACAUGCAAGUCGAGCGGAUGAAGGGAGCUUGCUCCUGGAUUCAGCGGCGGACGGGUGAGUAAUGCCUAGGAAUCUGCCUGGUAGUGGGGGAUAACGUCCGGAAACGGGCGCUAAUACCGCAUACGUCCUGAGGGAGAAAGUGGGGGAUCUUCGGACCUCACGCUAUCAGAUGAGCCUAGGUCGGAUUAGCUAGUUGGUGGGGUAAAGGCCUACCAAGGCGACGAUCCGUAACUGGUCUGAGAGGAUGAUCAGUCACACUGGAACUUAGACACGGACCAGACUCCUACGGGAGGCAGCAGUGGGGAAUAUUGGACAAUGGGCGAAAGCCUGAUCCAGCCAUGCCGCGUGUGUGAAGAAGGUCUUCGGAUUGUAAAGCACUUUAAGUUGGGAGGAAGGGCAGUAAGUUAAUACCUUGCUGUUUUGACGUUACCAACAGAAUAAGCACCGGCUAACUUCGUG
rnacentral:rRNA from 1 species